GGAGGCAGCCGCGGGCGGGUGGCGGAGCGGCGGCGGCACCAUGAGCAGCGGCGCCGCCGAGCGGGAGGGCCCCGCCGAGCCGGGCCUGCCCGAGGAGGAGGUGAGGACCCUGUUUGUCAGCGGCCUGCCCCUGGACAUCAAGCCCCGCGAGCUCUACCUGCUCUUCAGGCCCUUCAAGGGCUACGAGGGGUCGCUUAUCAAGCUCACCUCCAAGCAGCCCGUGGGGUUCGUGAGCUUCGACAGCCGCUCAGAGGCUGAGGCCGCCAAGAAUGCACUGAACGGCAUCCGCUUCGACCCUGAGAUCCCCCAGACGCUGCGGCUGGAGUUUGCCAAGGCCAACACCAAGAUGGCCAAGAGCAAGCUGGUGGGCACCCCCAACCCCAGCACGCCCCUUCCCAACACCGUACCUCAGUUCAUCGCCAGGGAGCCCUAUGAGCUCACAGUGCCUGCACUUUACCCCGGCAGCCCUGAAGUGUGGGGGCCGUACCCUCUGUACCCAGCGGAGCUGGCGCCUGCUCUACCUCCUCCUGCGUUCACAUACCCUGCUUCGCUGCAUGCCCAGAUGCGCUGGCUCCCUCCCUCCGAGGCUGGGUCUCAGGGCUGGAAGUCCCGUCAGUUCUGCUGAAUGCUGUGUCUCGGGUGUGUGAUGGCGGCCGACGGUCAGUCUUGUGGGUAUGAACAGAGCCCCCCGGCGGCUGCUGGGCACGCACGCUCUCCGCAGAACCACAGUGUGCUGGCUAGGAAGAAACCUCACACAAGUCUGGAUUCCUCCAAGACUUUCCCACAGCCUCUAUCACACAUCUGUUCUCCUAGAAGAAAGCGAGAAGCAUACCCAGUAUAAUAUUUCCCUCUUUUACACUGUAUAUUUGUAAGAAAGAGCGUGUUACUGCUGAAAGCAUGGUUUGACAGGCACUGCUGUAGCGUUUGAAAAGUAUUUUCAAACACCCCUAGGAAAGCAGACUGCAAAAAAAAAAAAAAAGCAAAGCGAGAGCAAGUAUUUUUGUACCAAACUUCUGAACAGGACAAUCUCACACUGGGCUGGAUGACAGUUUUUGUGCUCAACCUCCCAGCAGCAUGCCCUUAGCAGCCUGCCCCCCCCAUCCACGGGCCACACACCAAAGGCCAGGACAUACGCUGCCUCAGCAGAGUCUGUGGUGCUCACAGUGCUCUGGCGACAUCAGCAUCGCCUCUGCACCCCAAUGCACUGCCAGCAUUGGGGUUCCCUUCCUGGCUGCAGCACGCGGCGCUAGCCACGACAGGCAGCUUUCUUACCUUGGCACGAUGUUAACGGCUUGCUGCACAGCUCCGGCAAGGUGUGAUGCUCACAUCAGGGAUGGGCAGAGACAGCCCACACAUGUAGCAAGGUGAGAAUUCACCUUCUCCUGCCACGGCUGCUCCAAGAUGUUAAGGGCGGCAACGCAGACUGCUGUGCAAGGAGCUGGACUUUCUGAUCCCUGCCAACUCCGGGCCGUGGGACUGGGAUACGCACCCACUGCUGCAGGGCUCUGCUGCAGCUUCAGCACCCGGUGAUGCCAGUCUGGCUGCAGAGCAUGUCCGUGCGGAGCAGAGCCCAAGGGAGGCCGCUGGUUGCACAGGGUGGGAUGGAUCCAGCACAGGGACUGCAUGCUGGCGUCCUCUUUGCACCGGGAGGAACUGGCAUGAGGAAGAGUAAAGCAAAGCAAAAAAAAGAGAAAAAAAAAAACCAUCAACCCAUUUGUUUCUUCAAAAAGGAGGUGCCAACCCCAUCUCUAUUAAUCGCCUGAGCAGAACUUCCAGCCUCUCGCCCUCCUCCAUUUUCUGCUUUGGCCACAAGCAGCAGGGAACAGGGCUGCCAGAGCUGCCCAGGUGGGGGCAAGAAGGGGGUGCCACAGGGCCACCAGCAUGCAGCAGGGUGGGCAGCGGUGCCUCGAGCAAGGUAGCUCUGCAGGGACAGCACAGCGCUCCCAGCAAUGGACUAUUGUAGCAAACUGUUUCCUGUGUUUUGUUCUGUUUUGGUGGAGAGGAAAGGAGCUUCCAUGUUGUCUUCUCCGCUUUUGGAAAUAUGUUUAAAGGUACUUUUCUAUUGUAAUUUUUUAAAAAUAAAGCCAGUGAUUAUUGUAAGUUA